rnacentral:tRNA from 1 species
GGUGGGAUGUCCGAGUGGUUAAAGGAGACAGGCUGUAAACCUGUUGGCUCUGCCUACGUUGGUUCGAAUCCAACUCCCACCA